AUGUGUCUCAACUGCGGGUCGCUGCCAGCGCAUCGCACGCUGCCAUGGGAGCCACCUGGAAGGGGCAGUCCGGUGCCCUCCAAACCUGUCUUCCUGGCUUCCUCCUUCCUAUUGCCUGCCUCGCCGCUCAUAUCACCCACCAGGUUUCUUCUGCAGCUAGAAUCCCUCAAAAGCCUGCAGUUGGAGCCAGAAUUUAGGAUCACAGUAUACAAAACCCUUAUAAAUCCUGACACUGAAGGGUCGUUCCUCCACUGGAAUGAGGAAGAGAUCACGGAUGCCACACCGCUUGCAACUGAUCUCACCAGUCAGGGGCAGACCAACCAACUGGGUGAGCGAGCACUAUAUAGCUCAUAG
rnacentral:rRNA from 1 species